GAAACUUACCCAUACGAAGAAUGUAUGCAUGCAUGACUAAGUCACUUUGUAUAAAAGAGUCUGCUAAAUGGCAUAACGUCAUAUAUUAUGUAAGAGAGCAAUCUCAGAUGUGUCACUGCCAGCUGCGUUGCACAAUGGGUCUGCUCCUCCACAAGGUAAACCCAGCAGGUUAGAACAAGAUGAGGUUCUUUUAAACAUGGAAACUGCAGGGAGGAAUGAAGGGACAACAGGUGCUAGUUGAUUUUGAAGAGUGUCGGUGCCUUGAAGGGUACGUUCAGAGAGUGUGUGUGUGUUACUUUCACUGCGGAUGGGAUGCGUUACACCCUCAGUUUUUUAAAGGGAAUAUAUGAGAACUUCAAUUAUAGAGAUGCUAAAGAUAGUCUAUCAAAUUUAAAGUGUUGAGUGACCACACAAAUCCACCUCACCCCCCCCCCUCUCUCUCUGAGACGUUUUUUCUCUCCAUUAACAUUAACACUGAAAAUAACUGUAGUCUAUAUCUUCUCACUCUAAAUAUGUUAGUAAAAUAUCACAGCUUGGUAUCUUUCUGGUCACGCUCCCCUAUAAUAGCGUGGUAGAAAUGUUACCUACUGGAAUAAAGCGCUAGUUAGAUUUUUGGUCCAAAACACCCCAGCAGCCAUCUGGAGCCGCAUGGCCUGUUAUGAGCAGAACUCUUUGGUUGCGUCCCAAAUGGCACCCUUUUCCCUAUAUAGUGCACUACUUUUGACCAGGACCCAUAUGGUUCAAGUGAAAAAUCUUGCACUAUAUUUUUUAUUUAACUAGACAAGUCAGUUAAGAACAAAUUCUUAUUCACAAUGACGGCCUACACCGGCCAAACCCGGACAACGCUGAGCCAAUUGUGCGUCACCCUAUGGGACUCCCAAUCACGGCCGGAUGUGACGCAGCCUGGAUUUGAACCAGGGACUGCAGUGACGCCUGUUGCACUGAGAUGCAGUGCCUUAGACCGCUGUGCCACUCAGAGCCUAUAUAGGGAAUAGUAUGCCAUUUUCCACCGCUUAUCCAUUGCAAGAGUGUCAUUACAGAGUAAACGACACUCUCAUUCCUUCAAGUGCUGAAUACAGCCGACAUCUUACUAAUGUGUAUUGAUUUCAUGUUGAAGAAGUUUAUUUAUCCUAUGCCAGUGGUUCCCAAACUUUUUAUAGACCUGUAUCCCUUCAAACAUUCAACCUCCAGCUGCGUACCCCCUCUAGCACCAGGGUCAGCGCACUCUCAAAUGUUGUUUUUUGCCAUCAUUGUAAGCCUGCCACACACACACUAUACGAUACAUUUAUUAAACAUAAGGAUGAGUGAGUGUUUGUCACAACCCGGCUCGUGGGAAAUGACAAAUAGCUCUUCUAGGACCUGGGCACAAAUAAUAAUAAUCAAUAAUUUUGCUCUUUAUUUAGCCAUCUUACAUAUAAAAACGUAUUUGUUCAUCAAAAAUUGUGAAUAACUCACCACAGGUUAAUGAGAAGAGUGUGCUUGAAAGGAUGCACAUAACUCUGCAAUGUCAUGUUGUAUUGGAGAGUCUCAGUCUUAAAUGAUUUUACACACAGUCUGCCUGUAUUUAGUUUUCAUGCUAGUGAGGGCCGAGAAUCCACUUUCACAUAGGUAUGUGGUUGCAAAGUGCAUUAGUGUCUUAACAGUGAGAUUUUCCAAGGCUGGAUACUCUGAGCGCAGCCAUAUUCAGAUCUGACAGUUGCUUCUGAUUAAAUUCAAUUUUCACAGAACCGCUUGUUGCAAUUUUGAUGAGGUUCUCCUGUUCAGAAAUCGGUAAGUGGACUGGAGACAGUGCAUGAAAGGGAUAACGAAUCCAGUUGUUUGUGUUGUCCGUUUCGGGGACAGUACCUGCGUAAUUGCGCACACAGCUCACUCGUGUGCUUCGCUGUAGCACAUUUGACAUUGUCUGUAAGCAUACAAUGAUGGAAAGACCUGUGUGUUGUCCUUGUUAAUGCAGACAGAGAAGAGAACUUCUUAAUCAUAGCCUCAAUUUUGUCCCGCACAUUGAAUAUAGUUGCGGAGAGUCCCUGUAAUCCUAGAUUCAGAUCAUUCAGGUGAGGAAAAAACAUCACCCAGAUAGGCCAGUCGUGUGAGAAACUCGUCAUCGUGCAAGUGGUCAGACAAGUGAAAAAUUAUGGUCAGUAAAGAACUUUAAGCUCGUCUCUCAAAAAGAACGUGGCAAUACUUUGCCCCUUGAUAACCAGCUCACUUCUGUGCAUGGUAAGAGCGUUACAUAGUCGCUGCCCAUAUCAUUGCAUAAUGCAGAAAAUACACGAGAGUUCAGGGGCCUUGCUUUUACAAAGUUAACCAUUUUUACUGUAGUGUCCAAAAUGUCUUUCAAGCUGUCAGGCUUUCCCUUGGCAGCAAGAGCCUCUCGGUGGAUGCUGCAGUGUACCCAAGUGGCUUCAGGAUCAACUGCUUGCACGCGCGUUACCACUCCACUAUGUCUCCCUGUCAUGGCUUUUGCUCCAUCAGUACAGAUACCAUCACAUCUUGACCAUCAGAGUCCAUUUCAUGUCACAAAGCUGUCCAGUACUUUAAAAGUAUCCUCUCAUGUUGUCCUGGUUUCCAGUGGUUUGCAGAAGAGGAUGUCUUCCUUAAUUGACCCCCCAUAAACGUAACGGACAUAUACCAGGAGCUGUGCCAGGCCCGCCUUGUCUGACUCAUCCAGCUGUAACGCAUAGAAUUCACAGGCUUGUAUGCGAGGCAGUAAUUGUUUCAAAACAUCUCCUGCCAUGUCACUGAUGCGUCGUGAACCAUUGUUGUUUGAUGAAGUCACUGUCUGUAUAGUUGUUUUUUGUCCUUUCCCCCCAAGUCCUUCACAAUAGUAUGGGGCUUGCCUGUCCUAGCCACUCGGUAGCUCACCAUCUAAGACUCUUCUAGCCCCUUCUUAUUAAUGGUAUAUGUUGCUUUUAUACGUCUUAUUACUCGACUUAUUACUUAUUUUUCAAAUUGACAUGUUUUAAUUUCUGACGAAAGACUCAUCGAGUUGUGAGAGUACUUUUGCACAUAUAACACACUGGCUGAGGAAAGGCACUACUCCCAAUAUAAGUGAAUGCUUAAUUAAUGUAGUUUUCAUCAUAUUUGAGCCUUUCCGAUGGCCCAACGUCCCUGUCUGUUCGGUGCUUUCCCGGGUAAGGAGGCAGUAGCUCGUCGGCUGCAACAGAUUCACAACUGUCAGUGUCCAUGCUAGCUGGGCUAACAACAAAUGUAGAAAUUCUGAUGCUAGAUUUUUAUGUGGAAGCCGAACAACUUGUGUCGUCGACAGGUGCAGGUGUAGUACUGCUGGUUGGAGCAGUACUACCAGUAGAGCUGGUAUGUGUCUCUCUGGACACUGGCCUUGCUUUUUUCAAACCAUUUAUACAUUUUCAAGAAAACGGUAGUGGAAUUCCCGUGAGAAAUUAACAGUUAAUGUGAUUGGAUGUUAAUUAUUUGACUAGGCUUCCUGUAUUUGACAUUGUGUUAUUUCGCUGAGUACUAGAUGGUUGAAUUUUAUUUUUGGCAGUGAAACGAGGCUACUCAGGCGAGGGGGAAAAAACAUCACCCAAAUGUAUAGCGCCUGUUGGAAAAUCUAAAUGUAGUGUUUGAAAAUGUGAAUCGCAUUUUUAUUUGGCGUACCCUCGACGGCAUUGCGCGUACCCCAGUCGUACCCCAGUCGCCCUAUGCCAUGUAGUGUUUCUUUCAUGGGGGGUACAAAUCUGUCAAACGUGAGAUGUUUAGACAUAUUGGGACCAUAUCAGGACACCUUCGAGAAGUGAUCCUUCUUCCACUUGUUUAAUAACAAAACAUGCUCAACUCCAUUACUGUGUAAUUACAAUUCCAUUAUCCAAGUAGGCUAAAUUACCAUGGAGCCACAUGCUAAUACAAUGCUUCAACUAGAAUAAUAUGGUUACUACACAGGUAUACAAACGUAACUAAAAGUGUGUUACUGCAAAUGCAUAUUUUCCACAAACCCAAAUGUCAACAUUUUAAGUGUGGUAGUCUUAGACCUACCCUCUAUCCUCGUUUUCACAUGAAUUAUGUCCAUGACAUAAACAUCAGCAGCCUGGGUCCGUAUUCAAAGAUUUUUCUACCAUUUGAAAUCCUUGAGUGGGAUUAUUUGAGAACAUAGCCCACUAGACAAAUCAUUACAAACAGUAGCCAGCCAGGUAGAACAGUUACACAAUUUAGAAAUAGAGAUAAAAUGAAUCCCUUACCUUUGAUCUUCAUAUGGUUGCACUCAGCAGACAUUAAUUUACUCAAUAAAUGUUCCUUUUGUUCGAUAGUCUCUUUAUACCCAAAACCUCCGUUUUGUUUGCGCGUUUUCUUCAGUAAUCCACAGGCUCAAACGCAGUCAAAACAGAAAGAUAAAAAAAUCCAAAUUGUAUCCGUGAAGUUCAUAGAAACAUGUCAAACAAUGUUUAUAUUCAAACCUCAGGUUGUUUUUAUCCUCAAUAAUCGAUAAUAUUUCAACCGGACAAUAACGUCGUCAAUUUAAAGGGUAAACAAGAAACGCACUUUCUCGGUCUGGCGCAGGAAAAAGCUCUGACACGGCAGGGUCCACUCAUUCAGACUGCUCUUACUUCUUCAUUUUUCAGAAUACAAGCCCGAAACAAUUUCUGAAGACUGUUGACAUCUAGUGGAAGGCAUAGAAACUGCAAUUUGAGUCCUAAGUCAAUGGAUACUGUAUUGGCAUUGAAUAGAAAACUACAAAACCAACAAAAGAAACUGCUUCCUGAAUGGAUUUUUCUCAGGUUUUCGCCUGCCAAAUCAGUUCUGUUAUACUCACAGACACUAUUUUAACAGUUUUGCAAACUUUAGAGUGUUUUCUAUCCAAAUCUACCAGUUAUAUGGAUAUCAUAUAUUCUGGGCCCGAGAUGCAGGCAGUUUAAUUUGGGCAUGCAUUUCAGCCAAAAUUCCGAAUGCCUAGAGAAGUUAAUGAAAUGUGUUUUUGUUUAUUAGGCUACUGUGCAGUCUACAAUACAUACUGUAGUAAACAUGGGAAAGUGCCUAAUUCCUUACAUAAGGGAGAGCAGGCCAUGUCUGUACUACAGAAUGCGGGGCAUGCUGGAGACCGGUGUUAUAUCAUAGUUGUGAUGUCUUCACUAUUAUUCUACAAUGUAGAAAAUAGUAAAAAUAAAUAAAGAUCCUGGAAUGAGUAGGUGUGUCCAAACUUUUGACUGGUACUUAAUUAAUUUGAUUAAUGGUGUUUCUAUUCCAUGAAAAACCCUCUGAGUUUCCGUUAGGAUGGAACAGAAAAUAUGGCGCUGUACAACGUGACGCUCGUAAAUCCAGAGCAUUGUCAGUUUGUAAAUUCAGACCGUUUCGUUCCCGGAGCGCGCACUGGAAUAAUCAAGUCGAUAAAUGUUGGGUAGUUAGCCUAUAGUUAAUAUACUGGCAAGUUAGUAGUUAUACAUCAAACGUUAGGUAGCUAGCUAGCAUACCGGUACAUACUGCUGUAAUGAUAUGCUAUGUAGUUCUUAAGGACAGAAUAGCUAACAAACUGUUAGCCAACAUAACGUGUAAGGUAACUUAUUUGAAAAGUCAUUACUUUAUUACACUGAGUAGCAAGAUACCCCUUGGUUCACACCUAGUUUGGCAAUUAGACAGUUCUUUAGUAAAGGUUGAAUAGUCUAUUGUUCAGCUAUUAGCCCCCCUCCCCAACUUGCAAGAAAUUGUUGUUGUUCCCAUCUCGUUCCUUUCCCUCUCCCACACAUCAUCAUUCUGCGCCUGAGUGGCUCGCUUGUGGGUGUGCUGGUAGGAUAUGGCAGCAGCAUCGGUUGUGCGUCAAGAAUUCUGCAUACAGUAGCACGUUUGUAUGAAGGUGUGGUUAUUCACAGGCAAAUUGUUAUAUGCUAUGGAGGUACAUUUGUGCCUUUUUUGUUGAGAGCAAAACUUUUUAAAAACAUUUUCAAUCGAAAAUAAUUGUUCCGAAAGCAACUUUUUCCCGACACAAAGGAAGUCAUAGCGGACACCUACGAAGAAGGACUGUGUGAUGAUGGCAUCUCAGGUAAGCGGCACUGGGCGUUCUUCCGUUCAACUUUUACAUAGCUAGUAGUUAGCUCCUACGAUUCAGUGUCAGUUCAUACCGUAGAAUGAUAAAUCAUGCCAUUAUUAUUCUCAAGCUAACCAAAAGAGAUUAGCGUUUUCGCCGUUUUCAGUUCAAUUAAUCUACCUUUCUUUCAUGGCAACUCAUAAGCAGGCCAUGUCAUAUUUGUUUCAUAGUCGAUAUAUAAUAAUAUUUCAUGACAGUGUAACGGUUAGCUUCUUUUUUCUUUCUUUUUUACAGAAGGCUGAAAACACAAUGUCUGUCACAAAGAGUUAGGGAGUCUUUGCAGCAUGUAGAUGGUGCAGGUAUCAUUGCAUAUUCCCAUCACCUAAUGAACAACCACAAUACCAGUCUGGUGUUAAGCUUUCUGUGCUGUAUUGACGUAUCCUGAAAAUGACAUCUGCUGCUUUAGAUUGAAUGGUCAUAUCUACAAAAAAUAAGCUAUUUUCUUUACUUUCAGAGAGCGAGCUGAUCAAGGGGUCGAAAAUGUAGAUAUUGCCAGAUGAUCACUGUCCGAGGAACAGGCCGUGGAAGCUUUAUUGCUGGCAAAAGUGUCCAUAACCAGAGGUUAUAUCAGCUGUGUUGGUGAACCCCUCCCGCAUCUGAACUGGUUGACACAGAGGGCACAGCAUGAUCAUAGGUAGGUUUUGAUGUGAGAGAGGAUGCCAGUCACGUUAUCGUCAACUCACCCACUCUUAAGAUAACCUUCUGGCCAACUGGGGGCCCAAGGCUGGUUAGGAGACACCGCAAUUGUGAUGAACUGAGAGAAUAUUAGGGUAGCACUGUAAUUCAUUAAUCAUAUGCUGUCUGCCUCUGUUCUUACCUCUUUCCCUUUCUGUCUUCUACACCUCUCUCCCCACCUCGUCUUUCUUCCUCGUUUUAUAAUGCACACCAUAUAUAUGUGCAUUGAAGUACAGAUUGAACUUGUAUUUAUAAUAUUACAAUUAUCAUAAUUAUAAUGCAUGUAUUAUGUAUUUAUAACACUUGGAUAAUGAACUUCUUUCAAGCGUCUUUCAACCACUGGUUGAAAUUAAGUAUCUCAUUGAAAUACUACCCUGUGUCCUCAGAUUAAUGCAGAUGAAGGGAGUUAGAUAUGCAUAGUUUUUCUGUAUAUAUGAAUGAAUUACAAUUAAUUAAUUAUGAAUGAAUGACAAAUCAGCCUUCACUUAAAUCAUGUUUCUAGUCUAUUGCAUAGUUACAAUGUGUAAUCAUUGAUGUCCCAGGAGCAGGAGUGGUAAAACACUGUUUAAGUGUAUAAUUAUAAUGCAUACAUGCAGACACAGCAUCAUUCAAAGAAUGGAGUUUGAUAUGACUGAAAAAUGUCUGAGAUUCAUACCUGAACCGCACCUUUAUUUGCCAAGGAAGAGUACAUGAUCAGUGAAUAUAUUCAAUGUACAGGUUACAAUGUGGGAAUCUCAUGCGUGGUAAUAACUACAGUACUUGUAUAUACAGUUGAUGUCGGAAGUUUACAUCCACCUUCGCCAAAUACAUUUAAACUCAGUUUUUCACAAUUCCUGACAUUUAAUCUUAGUAAAAAAUCCCUGUUUUAGGUCAGUUAGGAUCACCACUUUAUUUUAAGAAUGGGAAAUAUCAGAAUAAUUGUAGAGAGAAUGAUUUAUUUCAGCUUUUAUUUAUUUCAUCACAUUCCCCGUGGGUCAGAAGUUUACAUACACUCAAUUAGUAUUUGGUAGCAUUGCCUUUACAUUGUUUAACUUAGGUAAAAUGUUUUGGGUAGCCUUCCACAAGCGUCCCACAAUAAAUUGGGUGAAUUUUGGCCCAUUCCUCCUGACAGAGCUGGUGUAACUUGAUCAGGUUUGUAGGCCUCCUUGCUCGCUUUUGCAGUUCUGCCCACAUAUUUUCUAUAAGAUUGAGGUUAGGGCUUUGUGAUGGUCACCCCAAUACCUUGACUUUGUUGUCCUUUAGCCAAUUUGCCACAACUUUGGAUGUAUGCUUGGGGUCAUUGUCCAUUUGGAAGACCCAUUUGCGACCAAGCUUUAACUUUCUGACUGAUGUCUUGAUGUUGCUUCAAUAUAUCCAUAUCAUUUUCCUACCUCGUGAUGCCAUCUAUUUUGUGAAGUGCACCAGUCCCUCCUGCAGCAAAGCACCCCCACAACAUGAUGCUGCCACCCCCGUGCUUCACGGUUGGGAUGAUGCUCUUCGGCUUGCAAGCCUCCCCCUUUUUCCUCCAAACAUAAUGAUAGUCAUUAUGGCCAAACGGUUCUAUUUUUGUUUCAUCAGACCAGAGGACAUUUCUCCAAAAAGGAUGAUCUUUGUCCCCAUAUGCAGUUGAAAACCGUAGUCUCUUUUUUUGUAUGGCUGUUUUGGAGCAGUGGCUUCUUCCUUGCUGAGCGGCCUUUCAAGUUAUGUCAAUAUAGGACUCAUUUUACUGUGGAUAUAGAUACUUUUGUACCUGUUUCCUCCAGAAUCUUCACAGGGUUCUUUGCUGCUGUUCUGGGAUUUAUUUGCACGUUUAGCACCAAAGUACAUUAAUCUCUAGGAGAGAGAACGCGUCUCCUUCCUGAGCGGUAUGACGGCUGCGUGGUCGCAUGGUGUUUGUACUUGCGUACUAUUGUUUGUACAGAUGAACGUGGUACCUUCAGGCGUUUGGAAAUUGCUCCCAAGGAUGAACCAGACUUGUGGUGGUCUACAAUUUUCUGAGGUCUUGGCUGAUUUCUUUUGAUUUUCCCAUGAUGUCAAGCAAAGAGGCACUGAGUUUGAAGGUAGGCCUUGAAACACAUCCACACCUCCAAUUGACUCAAAUGAUGUCAAUUAGCCUAUCAGAAGCUUCUAAAGCCAUGACAUUAUUUUCUGGCACAGUCAACUUAGUGUAUGUAAACUUCUGUCCCACUGGUAUUGUGAUACAGUGAAAUAAUCUGUCUGUAAACAAUUGUUGGAAAAAUUACUUGUGUCAUGCAUAAAGUAGGUGUCUUAACCGACUUGCCAAAACUAUAGUUUGUUAACAAGAAAUUUGUGGAGUGGUUGAAAAACGAGUUUUAAUGACUCCAACAUAAGUGUAUGUUAACUUUCGACUUCAACUGUUGGACUUGCAUCCUUGGUACAGUAAAGUUAUUAUAUUCUACUCUAUCCAUAGGCUUCAUUAAUGCCAUUCAGACGUGAAAUUGAUACAACAACUUUGAUAGCUGAGGUUCAUAGAUUGGUAUGAAUAUUAGAUCAGAACCUAAUGUUUUAGGGUCCAUACAUAGAUUGACUACAUACUGUAGCUAGCUACACAUCCGUAGGCAUACAGUAAUUUUUAUCCUCCACUACACAAUAAGCAAGUACAUAGUUAGCUAGCUAUGUUACUUCUGCUGCAUUGCAAGGCUAGCUUACACAAUUGUACAUUCAAUUUGCAGUAAAUGCUUUAGCUAGCUAGAUUCUUUACAUCCACUGUUUCACAAGACGACAGCCUGGUUUGCUGUUUUUUUUUAGGAGUCCCUAAAAUAUUAAACACACGAAUUACAAAUUCAUUAUCCUGUCAUAAUACUAGCUAGCUGACUAAUGUUAGCUAGUCAGAUAAAUCGCUAUUUAGCAAGUUUUGUAAAUUAACUUCAUGACAAAAAAAAGAUGCUCAAACUUUGUCUACAUUAACUAACAUAUUCCUCAAUUUUACAUAUUUUGCUUGACGUUAUAACUACUUACAUUUGGUUCCACGGUAAUACUUUUUCAGCCAUCUUUGUUGAAGAACGCCACCAGGGACGGGUAGCUCGCGUCAAAAUUUGUCAUUGGAACCACUCGAUAUGAUUGGUCAUAUAAAAACCGUGGGACCCAAAUGCAUAAUGAGUGCUCUAACUCCCCCUUCUGGUGGUCUGGAGCAAUGAAGCUGAGACGCUGGGUACCUCUAAGUCCCGUGGUGCGAGCUCGCAACUUUUCAAUUAUUAUUACAAAAUAUUUGAUAUUUUUUUACUUUGAAGCCUCGUUUUUGCUUUCAGAACAAUUAUUUUUGAUUGAAAAUAAAGUUUUGCUCUCGACAAAAAGACAACCAUUUGUUGCAAGUUGGGGAGGGGGCUAAUAGCUGAACAAUAGACUAUUCAACCUUUACUAAAGAAUAGUCUAAUAGCCGAGCUAGGUGUGAAAAAAAACCGUCCUAUCGCAGACCAGAUUAGCCCUAACGACCAAGGGGGAGUUAAAGCACUGAUUAUGCUACCAGUCAAAAGUUUGGACACGCCUACUCAUUCCAGGAUUUUUCUUUAUUUUUACUAUUUUCUACAUUAUAGAAUAAUAGUGAAGACAUCACAACUAUGAAAUAGCACAUAUGGAGUCAGUUAAGAACAAAUUCUUAUUUACAAGGACAGCCUACUCAUUCCUCCCCGUCAGGGAAUUGAACCCCAGUCUCCCACGUACCCUCCUCGUCUCUGGUAAUGCCAUUAUAGAAGACCUUCAAACGCUUCUCAAAGAUGCCCUCUGGUGGUCAAACUAGCACUAACUUGCAGUAACAGAAAAAAUGGCUGGCAAUUAAAUGACUUGCCACAGAACGUUGCAGCAGUUCGCAGGGUGUGCCGCAGUAUGACGCAACUUUUAAAGGAGGAACCACUGUAGGCCUGAUCACCGACAACGAUGAGACAGCCUAUAGGGAGGAGGUCAGAGACCUGGCAGUGUGGUGCCAGGACAACAACCUCUCGCUCAAUGUGAGCAAGGCAAAGGAGCUGAUCGUGGACUACAGGAAAAGGCAGGCCGAACAGGCCCCCGUAACAUCGACGAGGCUGUAGUGGAGCGGGUCGAGUGUUUCAAGUUCCUUGGUGUCCACAUCACCAACGAACUAUCAUGGUCCAAACACACCAAGACAGUCGUGAAGAGGGCACGACAACACCUUUUCCCCCUCAGGAGACUGAAAAUAUUUGGCAUGGGUCCCCAGAUCCUCAAAAAGUUCUACAGCUGCACAAUCGAGAGCAAAUUGACCGGUUGCAUCACCGCCUGGUAUGGCAACUGCUCGGCAUCUAACCAUAAGGCGCUACAGAGGGUAGUGCGUACGGCCCAGUACAUCACUGGGGCCAAGCUCCCUGCCGUCCAGGACCUAUAUACUAGGCGGUGUCAGAGGAAAGCCCAAAAACUUGUUAGAGACUCCAGUCAUAGACUAUUUUCUCUGCUACAGCACGGCAAGCGGUACCGGAGCGCCAAGUCUAGGACCAAAAGGCUUCUUAACAGCUUCUACCCCCAAGCCAUAAGACUGCUGAACAAUUAAUCAAAUGGCCACUGGGCUAUUUACACUAUGUACCUACAUGUACAAAUGAUCUUGACUAACCUGUACCCCCGCACAUGACUCUGUACUCCCUCUAUAUAGCCUCGUUAUUGUUAUUUUAUUUUGUUUUUAUUCUUUUUUUUGUUGAAUUUAUUUGGUAAAUAUUUUCUUAACUCUUUCUUGAACUGCAUUGUUGUUAAGGGCUUUUAAGGAAGCAUUUCACGGUUAGGUCUACACUUGUUGUGUUUGGCGCGUGUGACAAAUAAAGUUUGAUUUGAUUGGUCAAAAUAUGCGUUUUCAAUUGGACACCGUUUGGACACUUAUGAAGUGAAAAGCCACAAAGCCCUUUUUAACUUGGAAAGACUCCGCCACCACCAGGUUAGAGAUGUGAUGAUUGUGGCGUGAAUUCAGUUGGCCCACUGUACUAUAGUCCUCAAUCAUGACAUAGCCACUUAUCUGUUAGUCAUGGUUUGGCUUUGUUGUAGAACAAUACAAUUGCCUCACUAUCAUGUCAGAAGAAAAAGAUAAGAGCGAUUGACUGGUUGUCGACACCUCUUUGUGUGUCUCUGCCUCUCUUGUCUGUCUCGCUGUGUGUCCGUU